ncrna:Petromyzon marinus (sea lamprey) microRNA pma-mir-456 precursor
CCGUGUGCAGGCAUCUUUCCAGCCUACACGUGGGGUCCUGAUUCUGCAGGCUGGUUAGAUGGUUGUCACAUGC